rnacentral:lncRNA from 12 species
AUGUACUGCCAUGGCCACAGCUUUGGAAGCACAAGUUUCUUCCUCCAGGGCUCCUGCUCCUGUGACAGGGUCUGGUCACUGAGGAAAAGAACAAAUUCUAACAAAUCAACAGUAGUGAAAUGUGUCAGGGUAGGAAGAGCUGUACCCUGUGAUCCCUUAGGCCCUGCAGCCCUAAACAGAGGUGUUUGUGCUCUCUACUGCUGCCUGAGCAGUGGAACCCUGGAAUGCAGAACAUUUUCCAAAAUGCCCAAGGUGUCACCAUCCUGGCUCAGUGGUCCCCAGCAGUGGGUAUUUAUUAUGGCCACUGUCUCCUGGUCAUCUCUCAUCUGAAAACUCAU